AUGAGAUGAGGUAGGUGUCAUCCUUCCAGCAGAGUGACAGAUGAGAUGAGGUAGGUGCCAUCCUUCCAGCAGAGUGACAGAUGAGAUGAGGUAGGUGCCAU